rnacentral:rRNA from 1 species
GUUAGGAAUAUUGGACAAUGGGCGCAAGCCUGAUCCAGCCAUGCCGCGUGAGUGAUGAAGGCCUUCGGGUUGUAAAGCUCUUUAGCCGAUGAUUAUAAUGACUGUAGUCGGAAAAUAAGCCCCGGCUAACUUCGUGCCAGCAGCCGCGGUAAUACGAAGGGGGCGAGCGUUAUUCGGAAUCACUGGGCGUAAAGCGUGCGUAGGCGGCUUUGCAAGUUGGGAGUGAAAGCCCAGGGCUCAACCCUGGAAUUGCUCUCAAAACUGCAAGGCUCGAAUUCGGGAGAGGAUAGCGGAAUUGUCAGUGUAGCAGUGAAAUGCGUAGAUAUUGACAGGAACACCAGUGGCGUAAGCGGCUAUCUGGACCGAUAUUGACGCUGAGGCACGAAAGCGUGGGGAUCAAACAGGAUUAGAUACCCUGGUAGUCC